GCGCCCGCGCGCACCCCCUCCCACUGCUCCUCUGCUUCCCCCUCCCGGGCCGGGUUCCGUUCAGGAAAUGGCCCGGGAUGAGGUUCCCAGCUGCUUCCCAGCCGGGGCAGCGCUUCCUCCGCCGCCUGGGCUCCUCCUCGCUCGCCGCCCGGAGCGCCUUUGUCCGGCCAGCCGAGGCUCUCCCCGAGCGGCCGGACCUCACGACGGCCCUGGGAGGAUCGUUUGCUUCGCUUCAUCGACUUCUCAACUUUUUACUUGAUUUCAGGGCGUCGGGGGAUGAAGCGGGAAGCUAACCUCGAUUUCGCCUAAGAUUUUGCUGCACAUGCAACGCGGAGGUUGGGCAGUCAGAACCAUCGCACAUCCCGCCGGGGAGUCUGCCCCGGAUCCCCAUCUCACGCAGAGCUCUGCAGUCCGGUGUGGGCUGCCAUUCCCUGGCAUCGCGUUUGGGCUCCUCACGCCCUCCCUCGAUGCUACUUCGUCAUUGUUGAAAUUCUUGAACCUGUUUGAAAAGCCUCGUCCAAAAUUUCUGGCCUCACGCGUCUUCUGUUCGAGGUGUUCCGUUGCUUUUUUCCCAGGGACUCCGCAUGUCUGCUCGGGCUGGCCCCCGUGUCUGUUCAGAGCUUCUAGGUCAGGUGCUACGCUUGGUUCUCCUUUUUCUUUUCUAAUAUGUAAACUCCCAGCUCCUUUGCCCAAGUACUUUUCUCUGCCUCCUGUUUCCCGACCUUUUUAGAAGUGUCCUUCGACUUAGAUCCGUCUGUACCUGCAAGCUGCCUUUGCUUUUUGUAAAUGUGAACAUGUUGUUAGGUUACCCAUCUGCUCGUACUUCUUUGAUUGUGGUUAUCGCUGGGGAUUAAAUUAUUCUUGAAAUUAAAAAUACAAUUCAGUUUUGAAGUCUAAAUCAAGGAUCAUUGAGAAGUAAAAUCAGUGAUCUGU